rnacentral:rRNA from 1 species
AGGACGAACGCUGGCGGCGUGCUUAACACAUGCAAGUCGAGCGGAAAGGCCCUUCGGGGUACUCGAGCGGCGAACGGGUGAGUAACACGUGAGUAAUCUGCCCCUAGCUCUGGGAUAGCUCCGGGAAACCGGGAUUAAUACCAGAUACGACCACUUUAGACAUCUGCUGUGGUGGAAAGAAUUUCGGCUAGGGAUGAGCUCGCGGCCUAUCAGCUUGUUGGUGAGGUAACGGCUCACCAAGGCGACGACGGGUAGCCGGCCUGAGAGGGCGACCGGCCACACUGGGACUGAGACACGGCCCAGACUCCUACGGGAGGCAGCAGUGGGGAAUAUUGCGCAAUGGGCGAAAGCCUGACGCAGCGACGCCGCGUGGGGGAUGAAGCCUUCGGGUUGUAACCCUUUCAGCAGGACGAAGCGAAAGUGACGGUACCUGCAGAAGAAGCGCCGGCUAACUACGUGCCAGCAGCCGC